UUAGAUGUUGUUUAGUCUUCAGACUUACCUUUAUUCCUCCCCACCAAAGAGCUAAAGCUGCCAGGAUACCCCAGUUUUAUGGUUAGUGAAGCACCCCUCUGCCAUCUUUUUCAGAUGCUGUCUUCCUGAUUUUAUACAAAGAAUUAUACUACAGGCACAUAUAUGCCAAAGUCAGUGGGGGACCUUCCUUGGAGCAGAGGUUUGAAUCCUAUUACAACUACUGCAAUCUCUUCAACUACAUUCUUAAUGCCGACGGUCCUGCUCCCCUUGAACUACCCAACCAGUGGCUCUGGGAUAUCAUCGAUGAGUUCAUCUACCAGUUUCAGUCAUUCAGUCAGUACCGCUGUAAGACUGCCAAGAAGUCAGAGGAGGAGAUUGACUUUCUUCGUUCCAAUCCGAAAAUCUGGAAUGUUCACAGUGUCCUCAAUGUCCUUCAUUCCCUGGUAGACAAAUCCAACAUCAACCGACAGUUGGAGGUGUACACAAGCGGAGGGUGUCACUGUGUCACCCAGUCUGGUCUUGGACUCCUGGGCUCAAGCAAUCCUGCCUUGGCCUCCCAAAAGUGCCAGGAUUAUUGGAGAAG
rnacentral:sRNA from 1 species